GACGAACGCUGGCGGCGUGCCUAACACAUGCAAGUCGAACGGAAAGGCCCUGCUUUUUUGGGGUGCUCGAGUGGCGAACGGGUGAGUUACACGUGAGUAACCUUCCCUUGACUUUGGGAUAACUUCAGGCAACUGGUGCUAAUACCGGCUAGGAGCUCCUGCUGCAUGGUGGGCGUUGGACAGUUUAGGCGGUUGGGGAUGGACUCGCGGCUUAUCAGCUUGUUGGUGGGGUAGUGGCUUACCAAGUCUUUGACGGGUAGCCGGCCUGAGAGGGUGGCCGGCGACAUGGGGACUGAGAUACGGCGCAGACUCGAACGGGAGGCAACAGUGGGGAAUAUGAUACAGUGGGCGGAAGCCUGAGGCGACAACGCCACGUGCGGGAAGACAGCCAUCGGGUGGGAAACCGCUUUAGCCUGAGACGAAGCGUUAGUGACGGUAAUGGGUAAAGAAGCACCGGCUAACUACGUG
rnacentral:rRNA from 1 species